rnacentral:rRNA from 1 species
GGAGUUAGCCGGUGCUUCUUCUGCGAGUAACGUCACAGAUGUAAGGUAUUAACUUACACCCUUUCCUCCUCGCUGAAAGUGCUUUACAACCCGAAGGCCUUCUUCACACACGCGGCAUGGCUGCAUCAGGGUUUCCCCCAUUGUGCAAUAUUCCCCACUGCUGCCUCCCGUAGGAGUCUGGGCCGUGUCUCAGUCCCAGUGUGGCUGAUCAUCCUCUCAGACCAGCUAGGGAUCGUCGCCUAGGUGAGCCUUUACCUCACCUACUAGCUAAUCCCACCUGGGCUUAUCCAUCAGCGCAAGGCCCGAAGGUCCCCUGCUUUCCCCCGUAGGGCGUAUGCGGUAUUAGCAGUCGUUUCCAACUGUUAUCCCCCACAAAUGGGCAAAUUCCCAGGCAUUACUCACCCGUCCGCCGCUCGUCAUCUUCAAAAGCAAGCUUUUGAAAUGUUACCGCUCGACUUGCAUGUGUUAGGCCUGCCGCCAGCGUUCAAUCUGAGCCAG